rnacentral:lncRNA from 1 species
AGAAAGAAAGAAAGAAAGAAAGAAAGAAAGAAAGAAAGAAAGAAAAAGAAAGAAAGAGACAGAGGGAGGAAGGAAGGAAGGGGGAGGGAGGGAGGAAAGGAAAGAAGGUAAGAAAGGAAGAAAGAAAGAAGGAAAGAAAGAAAAGAAGGGAAGGGAGGAAGGAAGGAGAAAGGAAGGAAGGAAGAAGGAGGGAGGGAAGGAAAGAAAGAAAGAAAGAAAGAAAGAAAGAAAGAAAGAAAGAAAGAAAGAAAGAAAGAAAGAAAGAAAGANNNNNNNNNNAGAAAGAAAGAAAGAAAGAAAGAAAGAAAGAAAGAAAGAAAGAAAGAGAAAUGAGGGAAGAAAGAAUAAAGGGUCAAAUAAAUUUGUGGCUCUUUCUUAUUUAACUUGGUUUAAACUACAGAAAAGCACAUCCCAUGGAUAAGAUACUCUUUUUGGGGGGGGGGGUGGCCCCUGCAGUGAAAUAGCUGUGUAGGUGGCAUUUACACCUGCAAUUUCUGUUUUAUAGGGGAAAUAAAUUUGCCUGUUAUGUGAGAAACAGUGGAAAAUGAGCAGUUCUUACUGCAUGCUGAGAUCUCACCUUGAAGUCACAAAGGAUAAUGGCUAAUAAAGCUUUGCAGUGGGAGAGACUGAGCCCGCAGCAAGCCCUCUCCUGAUGAGCCGGCCUGGGAAGUUUCUGUGCACAAUGAAAUGUCACAGUACGGAUGAGGGCUCGCGAAGCGUGAGACUUCAUUUAAGAUGCUGAAAUAAACUCUAAUUGAAUGCACCAUCUGGAAACAUUGAACUACAUGGAGAAAGCAGUGGGAUCAAUUCACAUCAUCCUCCACACCCCCACUGGACGCAGAUACAGUCCCAUUCCAAGGACUAAGAGCAUGCUGAGCUUUGGAUUCUCUUUUUUUGUAAAGCCCCGUCACUACAACAUUCAAAAGACGUGUGAAAAUGUACGUAACAUAUAUGGUAAAGCCAUCUAUGUUGACAUAAAUGGAUUCCCUGGCUUGUCCGAGGGCACACACAGAGUGCCGGAGGAAGGGUGUGAGUUCAGUGCCUCUGACUUCUGGUGUUACCCACUUGCUGCUAACAUUUCCUUCUCAUUCGUGGCUGGGCAGAGACUCCCCCAACUAGACUCAUAUCCUGAUUGCCCAGAAACAGGUUAUACUACUCACCUGGGCAAAGCAGAUGCAAAGAUUAUUGCAAUCAUCUGUUGAUAGAGGUCUUUGACCAGCAGAGAGAAUGCAGAGCUAGUGCGGGACAAGUUGGUGGAAUAUAACAGUAAUGCCAAGAUUCUGGGGUUGGAGGGUCUCUUUGAACACAGGAUUCAUCACAUGCAAGUUGUGCAACCUUGGACAUGGAACUUAACCUACUCAUGCCUCAGUUUCCCCAGCUAUACAGUGGGGGUAAGAAAAGGGGCUGUAGGGGUGCCUGGGUGGCUCAGUCAUUAAGCGUCUGCCUUCGGCUCAGGGCGUGAUCCCGGCGUUAUGGGUUCGAGCCCCGCAUCAGACUCCUCCGCUGGGAGCCUGCUGCUUCCUCUCCCACUCCCCUGCUUGUGUUCCCUCUCUCGCUGGCUGUCUCUAUGUCAAAUAAAUAAAUAAAAAUCUUUAAAAAAAAAAAAAGAAAAGGAGCUGAGUGCUGGAGUUGUUUUGAAGAUUAAAUGAAUUCUCAUUUGUGAAGGUCUUGAAAGA